GAUUAUGAUUACAGUAAAUCAAAUUACAUAUUACUACCUUAAUGGGUUUCAAUUCUGAUUAAUAUUGUUUUCAUUCUGAGUAAUUCUUAGAAUUCGUUUUCAUAAAUUUUUUCAAGUCGAUCGAUAUAUUUCCUCCAGCAAUGCCUGUAAAUUAUAUAUGAAUUGAAGCUUCAAUUUUUAACUGUUUCUUUGGUUCAUUUUCUCAUUAUUGUUUACAAAUGGCAUCAAGCAAUUCAAGACUGGCUUUCGGAUUCAAGUCAAAAUCGUCCAAUCUUUGAGACAGUACACUUCUUGCUCAGUAAAUAUGCGAAUGAGAUCUAACCAAAGAGACGGACAAACAGAGAAACAUCAUGUACGCUGGAUUAAACUGCACUUUCAUGGAAUCUUCUUACUCAGAUUGGAGAUGAAGUUAUCAACAAUAAUUUAACAUGCAAAGGCAAGAGCAAUUGGAAACUGCCUCCGACGCAUCUUGAAUGGAAGUUUUGUGUCAGAAGGCUUGCGCUUUAACGGAUUUCGUUAUUCGGGAUUACAUUCGGAUUUGGUUCGAGCAAUUGGAGGGAGAGCUGACAGCUAGGAUUUAUUGUAGUUGUCUCAUUUGGAUCACCCAAGUAUAGUUAUCGGAUUUAUUUUAACCCGAAUCCGAAAUAGUUAAUUUCGGGUUAAUUUUAGUUUUAACCCGACCCGGAAGUAAUUUUGUACUCCUCUUUUACUAAUAUAGAGAUUACA